CAGUCGACGACUCUGGUAUUGAUUGGUGCUUGCAUCAUGAUUUACAUUUGAGUGAGUGGCGAACUGGUGAGUAACACGUGGGAAACCUGCCCAGAAGCGGGGGAUAACACCUGGAAACAGAUGCUAAUACCGCAUAACAACUUGGACCGCAUGGUCCGAGUUUGAAAGAUGGCUUCGGCUAUCACUUUUGGAUGGUCCCGCGGCGUAUUAGCUAGAUGGUGGGGUAACGGCUCACCAUGGCAAUGAUACGUAGCCGACCUGAGAGGGUAAUCGGCCACAUUGGGACUGAGACACGGCCCAAACUCCUACGGGAGGCAGCAGUAGGGAAUCUUCCACAAUGGACGAAAGUCUGAUGGAGCAACGCCGCGUGAGUGAAGAAGGGUUUCGGCUCGUAAAACUCUGUUGUUAAAGAAGAACAUAUCUGAGAGUAACUGUUCAGGUAUUGACGGUAUUUAACCAGAAAGCCACGGCUAACUACGUGCCAGCAGCCGCGGUAAUACGUAGGUGGCAAGCGUUGUCCGGAUUUAUUGGGCGUAAAGCGAGCGCAGGCGGUUUUUUAAGUCUGAUGUGAAAGCCUUCGGCUCAACCGAAGAAGUGCAUCGGAAACUGGGAAACUUGAGUGCAGAAGAGGACAGUGGAACUCCAUGUGUAGCGGUGAAAUGCGUAGAUAUAUGGAAGAACACCAGUGGCGAAGGCGGCUGUCUGGUCUGUAACUGACGCUGAGGCUCGAAAGUAUGGGUAGCAAACAGGAUUAGAUACCCUGGUAGUCCAUACCGUAAACGAUGAAUGCUAAGUGUUGGAGGGUUUCCGCCCUUCAGUGCUGCAGCUAACGCAUUAAGCAUUCCGCCUGGGGAGUACGGCCGCAAGGCUGAAACUCAAAGGA
rnacentral:rRNA from 2 species